rnacentral:rRNA from 1 species
UACGGAGGGUGCAAGCGUUGUUCGGAAUUACUGGGCGUAAAGCGCGUGCAGGCGGUUUGGUAAGUCAGGCGUGAAAGCCCUGGGCUCAACCCAGGAAGUGCGUUUGAAACUACCAUACUUGAGUAUGGGAGAGGAGAGUGGAAUUCCCAGUGUAGAGGUGAAAUUCGUAGAUAUUGGGAGGAACACCCGUGGCGAAGGCGACUCUCUGGACCAAUACUGACGCUGAGACGCGAAAGCGUGGGUAGCAAACAGGAUUAGAUACCCCAGUA